GACGAACGCUGGCGGCGUGCUUAACACAUGCAAGUCGAACGGAAAGGCCCUGCUUUUGUGGGGUGCUCGAGUGGCGAACGGGUGAGUAACACGUGAGUAACCUGCCCUUGACUUUGGGAUAACUUCAGGAAACUGGGGCUAAUACCGGAUAGGAGCUCCUGCUGCAUGGUGGGGGUUGGAAAGUUUCGGCGGUUGGGGAUGGACUCGCGGCUUAUCAGCUUGUUGGUGGGGUAGUGGCUUACCAAGGCUUUGACGGGUAGCCGGCCUGAGAGGGUGACUGGCCACAUUGGGACUGAGAUACGGCCCAGACUCCUACGGGAGGCAGCAGUGGGGAAUAUUGCACAAUGGGCGGAAGCCUGAUGCAGCAACGCCGCGUGCGGGAUGACGGCCUUCGGGUUGUAAACCGCUUUCGCCUGUGACGAAGCGUGAGUGACGGUAAUGGGUAAAGAAGCACCGGCUAACUACGUGCCAGCAGCCGCGGUGAUACGUAGGGUGCGAGCGUUGUCCGGAUUUAUUGGGCGUAAAGGGCUCGUAGGUGGUUGAUCGCGUCGGAAGUGUAAUCUUGGGGCUUAACCCUGAGCGUGCUUUCGAUACGGGUUGACUUGAGGAAGGUAGGGGAGAAUGGAAUUCCUGGUGGAGCGGUGGAAUGCGCAGAUAUCAGGAGGAACACCAGUGGCGAAGGCGGUUCUCUGGGCCUUUCCUGACACUGAGGAGCGAAAGCGUGGGGAGCGAACAGGCUUAGAUACCCUGGUAGUCCACGCUGUAAACGGUGGGUACUAGGUGUGGGGUCCAUUCCACGGGUUCCGUGCCGUAGCUAACGCUUUAAGUACCCCGCCUGGGGAGUACGGCCGCAAGGCUAAAACUCAAAGGAAUUGACGGGGCCCCGCACAAGCGGCGGAGCAUGCGGAUUAAUUCGAUGCAACGCGUAGAACCUUACCUGGGUUUGACAUGGAUCGGGAGUGCUCAGAGAUGGGUGUGCCUCUUUUGGGGUCGGUUCACAGGUGGUGCAUGGCUGUCGUCAGCUCGUGUCGUGAGAUGUUGGGUUAAGUCCCGCAACGAGCGCAACCCUUGUUCACUGUUGCCAGCACGUUAUGGUGGGGACUCAGUGGAGACCGCCGGGGUCAACUCGGAGGAAGGUGGGGAUGACGUCAAGUCAUCAUGCCCCUUAUGUCCAGGGCUUCACGCAUGCUACAAUGGCUGGUACAGAGAGUGGCGAGCCUGUGAGGGUGAGCGAAUCUCGGAAAGCCGGUCUCAGUUCGGAUUGGGGUCUGCAACUCGACCUCAUGAAGUCGGAGUCGCUAGUAAUCGCAGAUCAGCAACGCUGCGGUGAAUACGUUCCCGGG
rnacentral:rRNA from 1 species